UACGGGGGGGGCAAGCGUUGUUCGGAAUUACUGGGCGUAAAGGGCUCGUAGGCGGCCAACUAAGUCAGACGUGAAAUCCCUAGGCUCAACCUAGGAACUGCGUCUGAUACUGGAUGGCUUGAAUCCGGGAGAGGGAUGCAGAAUUCCAGGUGUAGCGGUGAAAUGCGUAGAUAUCUGGAGGAAUACCGGUGGCGAAGGCGGCAUCCUGGACCGACAUUGACGCUGAUGAGCGAAAGCUAGGGGAGCAAACGGG
rnacentral:rRNA from 1 species